rnacentral:rRNA from 1 species
UGGGGAAUAUUGCACAAUGGGCGCAAGCCUGAUGCAGCCAUGCCGCGUGUAUGAAGAAGGCCUUCGGGUUGUAAAGUACUUUCAGCGGGGAGGAAGGGAGUAAAGUUAAUACCUUUGCUCAUUGACGUUACCCGCAGAAGAAGCACCGGCUAACUCCGUGCCAGCAGCCGCGGUAAUACGGAGGGUGCAAGCGUUAAUCGGAAUUACUGGGCGUAAAGCGCACGCAGGCGGUUUGUUAAGUCAGAUGUGAAAUCCCCGGGCUCAACCUGGGAACUGCAUCUGAUACUGGCAAGCUUGAGUCUCGUAGAGGGGGGUAGAAUUCCAGGUGUAGCGGUGAUAUGCGUAGAGAUCUGGAGGAAUACCGGUGGCGAAGGCGGCCCCCUGGACGAAGACUGACGCUCAGGUGCGAAAGCGUGGGGAGCAAACAGG